rnacentral:tRNA from 1 species
GGGGUUGUAGCUCAGUGGUAGAGUGCUUUCCUAGCAUGUGUGAGGCACUGGGUUCGAUCCUCAGCACCACA